CUACGGGUGGCUCCAGUGGGGAAUAUUGGACAAUGGGGGAAACCCUGAUCCAGCAAUGCCGCGUGUGUGAAGAAGGCCUGCGGGUUGUAAAGCACUUUCGGUUGGGAGGACUGCUUCUAGCACUAAUAUUGUUGGAAGUUGACGUUACCUUCAGAAGAAGCACCGGCUAACUCCGUGCCAGCAGCCGCGGCAAUACGGAGGGUGCAUGCGUUAAUCGGAAUUACUGGGCGUAAAGCGCGCGUAGGCGGCUAGAUCAGUCGGGUGUGAAAGCCCCGGGCUUAACCUGGGAACUGCAUCCGAUACUGUCUAGCUUGAGUACAGGAGAGGAGAGUGGAAUUCCACAUGUAGCGGUGAAAUGCGUAGAUAUGUGGAGGAACACCAAUGGCGAAGGCAGCUCUCUGGCCUGAUACUGACGCUGAGGUGCGAAAGCGUGGGGAGCAAACAGGAUUAGAUACCCCAGUAGUC
rnacentral:rRNA from 1 species